AGUCCCCAUUCCACAGUGCAAGGACCAAUUCCAGUUUUCACCUUACUGGAGAAUCCUGCCAAAAUUUUGCUGUAAUAGAGCCAAUUGCCAAUUACACAACACAAAUGCUGCCUGGGAUGAGGAAGUCAAUGGAGCCUGUAGAUCCUGGUUGCAUCUUUGUCACUGUACAAUUUUACAAGAGAAAAACAUGUCCACAAGGUAUGAAAGCAUGUUCCAUGUGCAAUGCCACUGAAGCUGAAAUAUACCCGAACAUGAUCAUGUCUCCAAAGGGAAAGUACCAUGACCACCAUGUCCACUGAGAAAACAAGUACAUGUUUUCAAGUCAUGCACCAACAUCAUGCCCUCCCUAUGCUACCCACAUGAAGACACAGAUUACUCUCCUUUGGCUUCCCUGAUCAUUCUAGGUAUCUUAUUUCUUCAACUUCUGCAAUGGCUUCUUCAACUGAAGAGAUGGACCUGUCCACGGCAUCCAUGAAGGCUGGGGUCAGCUUUUGGAAAACUCUUGUUAAUGUUGAUAUUUUGACACUUCUCAUAAAUCUCUGGUGUUUUUGGCCAAG
rnacentral:lncRNA from 1 species